rnacentral:rRNA from 1 species
GGGUGAAAGGCUAAACAAAUCCGGAAAUAGCUGGUUCUCCCCGAAAACUAUUUAGGUAGUGCGUCGUACGGACACUUGCGGGGGUAGAGCACUGUAAUCGUUGGGGGGGUCAUUGCGAUCUACCCCGCGAUAGCAAACUCCGAAUACCGCAAAGUGAUAUACGGCAGACAGACAUCGGGUGCUAACGUCCGGUGUCAAGAGGGAAACAACCCACGACCGCCAGCUAAGGUCCCAAAUGCAUGGCUAAGUGGCAAACGAGGUGGGAAGGCAUAGACAGCUAGGAGGUUGGCUUAGAAGCAGCCAUCCUUUAAAGAAAGCGUAAUAGCUCACUAGUCGAGUCGUCCUGCGCGGAAGAUGUAACGGGGCUCAAGCCAUGAACCGAAGCUGCGGAUGUGUCUUUGAC